rnacentral:rRNA from 1 species
AUGAACGCUAGCUACAGGCUUAACACAUGCAAGUCGAGGGGCAGCAUGAACUUAGCUUGCUAAGUUUGAUGGCGACCGGCGCACGGGUGAGUAACACGUAUCCAACCUGCCGAUGACUCGGGGAUAGCCUUUCGAAAGAAAGAUUAAUACCCGAUGGCAUAGUUCUUCCGCAUGGUAGAACUAUUAAAGAAUUUCGGUCAUCGAUGGGGAUGCGUUCCAUUAGGUUGUUGGCGGGGUAACGGCCCACCAAGCCUUCGAUGGAUAGGGGUUCUGAGAGGAAGGUCCCCCACAUUGGAACUGAGACACGGUCCAAACUCCUACGGGAGGCAGCAGUGAGGAAUAUUGGUCAAUGGACGAGAGUCUGAACCAGCCAAGUAGCGUGAAGGAUGACUGCCCUAUGGGUUGUAAACUUCUUUUAUACGGGAAUAAAGUGAGGCACGUGUGCCUUUUUGUAUGUACCGUAUGAAUAAGGAUCGGCUAACUCCGUGCCAGCAGCCGCGGUAAUACGGAGGAUCCGAGCGUUAUCCGGAUUUAUUGGGUUUAAAGGGAGCGUAGGCGGACGCUUAAGUCAGUUGUGAAAGUUUGCGGCUCAACCGUAAAAUUGCAGUUGAUACUGGGUGUCUUGAGUACAGUAGAGGCAGGCGGAAUUCGUGGUGUAGCGGUGAAAUGCUUAGAUAUCACGAAGAACUCCGAUUGCGAAGGCAGCCUGCUGGACUGUAACUGACGCUGAUGCUCGAAAGUGUGGGUAUCAAACAGGAUUAGAUACCCUGGUAGUCCACACAGUAAACGAUGAAUACUCGCUGUUUGCGAUAUACUGCAAGCGGCCAAGCGAAAGCGUUAAGUAUUCCACCUGGGGAGUACGCCGGCAACGGUGAAACUCAAAGGAAUUGACGGGGGCCCGCACAAGCGGAGGAACAUGUGGUUUAAUUCGAUGAUACGCGAGGAACCUUACCCGGGCUUGAAUUGCAACUGAAUGAUGUGGAGACAUGUCAGCCGCAAGGCAGUUGUGAAGGUGCUGCAUGGUUGUCGUCAGCUCGUGCCGUGAGGUGUUGGGUUAAGUCCCGCAACGAGCGCAACCCCUGUUGCCAGUUGCCAGCAUUAAGUUGGGGACUCUGGCGAGACUGCCGGUGACAAGCCGGAGGAAGGCGGGGAUGACGUCAAAUCAUCAUGCCCCUUAUGACCUGGGCUACACACGUACUACAAUGGAUGUAAACAGAGGGAAGCAAAAUAGCGAUAUGGAGCAAACCCCUAAAAGCAUUCUCAGUUCAGAUUGCAGGCUGCAACUCGCCUGUAUGAAGUUGGAAUUGCUAGUAAUCGCGGAUCAGCAUGCCGCGGUGAAUACGUUCCCGGGCCUUGUACACACCGCCCGUCACACCAUGAGAGUUGGGGAUACCCGAAGCCUGUGAGCCAACAUAUCUAUGAGGCAGCAGUCGAAGGUAGAAUCAAUGAUUGGGGUG